rnacentral:rRNA from 1 species
UACGAAGGGGGCUAGCGUUGCUCGGAAUGACUGGGCGUAAAGCGCACGCAGGCGGUUCGCCAAGUUUGGAGUGACAGUUGUCGGCUCAACCGACAAAGGACUUCAAAACUGGUGAACUUGAGGACGAGAGAGGAACAUGGAACUCCAGGUGUAGUAGUGAAAUGCGUAGAUAUCUGGAAGAACACCAAUGGCGAAGGCAAUGUUCUGGCUCGUUUCUGACGCUCAGGUGCGAAAGCCAGGGGAGCGAACGGG